AGGCCGAAAGGCGUAGUCGAUGGGAAACAGGUUAAUAUUCCUGUACUUGGUGUUACUGCGAAGGGGGGACGGAGAAGGCUAUGUUAGCCGGGCGACGGUUGUCCCGGUUUAAGCAUGUAGGCUGGUUAUCCAGGCAAAUCCGGAUAAUCAAGGCUGAGGUGUGAUGACGAGGCACUACGGUGCUGAAGUAACAAAUGCCCUGCUUCCAGGAAAAGCCUCUAAGCAUCAGGUAACAUUGAAUCGUACCCCAAACCG
rnacentral:rRNA from 1 species